UGGGGAAUAUUGCACAAUGGGCGCAAGCCUGAUGCAGCCAUGCCGCGUGUGUGAAGAAGGCCUUCGGGUUGUAAAGCACUUUCAGCGGGGAGGAAGGCGUUAAGGUUAAUAACCUUGGCGAUUGACGUUACCCGCAGAAGAAGCACCGGCUAACUCCGUGCCAGCAGCCGCGGUAAUACGGAGGGUGCAAGCGUUAAUCGGAAUUACUGGGCGUAAAGCGCACGCAGGCGGUCUGUCAAGUCGGAUGUGAAAUCCCCGGGCUCAACCUGGGAACUGUAUUCGAAACUGGCAGGCUAGAGUCCUGUAGAGGGGGGUAGAAUUCCAGGUGUAGCGGUGAAAUGCGUAGAGAUCUGGAGGAAUACCGGUGGCGAAGGCGGCCCCCUGGACAAAGACUGACGCUCAGGUGCGAAAGCGUGGGGAGCAAACAGG
rnacentral:rRNA from 1 species